rnacentral:misc_RNA from 1 species
GUUUCUGAAGCUUUCUUAUGCACCGACGUACGUUUCGAGCUAAACCUCUCUUCGGCAUUCAAAGCAUAGCUCAAAAGACCUCUUUUCAGCACUGACAUACGAUGGAUCCAUGUCCAUUUGUCCGUUUAAACGUCGAAUCUCUAGCUCUAAAGCUCCCUUUGGCCACCAAACCAGCCGGUUCCCGCGUCCACCCAUCUAAUACACCACGCUUUUGCAAAGUACGCAUCAAGAACUUCCCUUCUCAAACUGCCAU